GACUCGAUAGCUCAGUCGGUAGAGCACAACACUUUUAAUGUUGGGGUCCUGGGUUCGAGCCCCAGUCGGGUCA
rnacentral:tRNA from 1 species